AUUGAACGCUGGCGGCAGGCCUAACACAUGCAAGUCGAGCGGAUGAGGGAAGCUUGCUUCCCGAUUUAGCGGCGGACGGGUGAGUAAUGCCUAGGAAUCUGCCUAUUAGUGGGGGAUAACGUUCCGAAAGGAACGCUAAUACCGCAUACGUCCUACGGGAGAAAGUGGGGGAUCUUCGGACCUCACGCUAAUAGAUGAGCCUAGGUCGGAUUAGCUAGUUUGUGAGGUAACGGCUCACCAAGGCGACGAUCCGUAGCUGGUCUGAGAGGAGGCUCAGCCACCAUAGAACUGAGGCACGGUCCAGACUCCUACGGGAGGAAGCAGUUGGGAAUAUUUGGCAAUGGGCGAAAGCCUUAUCCAGCCAUGCCGCGUGUGUGAAGAAGGUCUGCUGAUUGUAAAGCACUUUAAGUUGGGAGGAAGAGUUGUAAGCUAAUAUCUUGCAGCUUUGACGUUACCAACAGAAUAAGCACCGGCUAACUCUGUGCCAGCCGCCGCCGUAAUAC
rnacentral:rRNA from 1 species